rnacentral:siRNA from 1 species
GAGGGAGGGACGCCGGAGAAGCU